GACGAACCGUGCGAACGUUAUUCGGAAUCACUGGGCUUAAAGCGCAUGUAGGCGGGAGGGCACGUCCGUCGCUGAAAUCCCCCGGCUCAACCGGGGAACGGGCGCGGAUACGACCUUCCUUGAGGGGCGUAGGGGGACCUGGAACCUCCGGUGGAGCGGUGAAAUGCGUUGAGAUCGGAAGGAACGCCCGUGGCGAAAGCGGCUCACUGGACCAUUACUGACGCUGAUGCACGAAAGCUAGGGGAGCAAACAGG
rnacentral:rRNA from 1 species